rnacentral:rRNA from 1 species
CCUACGGGUGGCAGCAGUGAGGAAUAUUGGUCAAUGGACGAGAGUCUGAACCAGCCAAGUAGCGUGAAGGAUGACUGCCCUAUGGGUUGUAAACUUCUUUUAUAUGGGAAUAACAUGUUCCACGUGUAGGAUUUUGUAUGUACCAUAUGAAUAAGGAUCGGCUAAUUCCGUGCCAGCAGCCGCGGUAAUACGGAGGAUCCGAGCGUUAUCCGGAUUUAUUGGGUUUAAAGGGAGCGUAGGUGGAUUGUUAAGUCAGUUGUGAAAGUUUGGGGCUCAACCGGAAAAUUGCAGUUGAAACUGGCAGGCUUGAGUACAGGAGAGGUAGGCGGAAUUCGUGGUGUAGCGGUGAAAUGCUUAGAGAUGACGAAGAACUCCGAUUGCGAAGGCAGCUGACUGGACUGCAACUGACACUGAGGCUCGAAAGUGUGGGUAUCAAACAGGAUUAGAUACCCUAGUAGUC